GGAGCAUGUGGUUAAUUCGACGCAACGCGAAGAACCUUACCUGGGCUUGACAUCUGGGGAAUCUCAUGGAACAUGGGAGUGCGGAGCAAUCUGAACCCAAGACAGGUGCUGCAUGGCUGUCGUCAGCUCGUGUCGUGAGAUGUUGGGUUAAGUCCCGCAACGAGCGCAACCCUUGUCUCUAGUUGCCACCAUUCAGUUGGGCACUCUAGAGAGACUGCCGGUGGAUAAAACCGGAGGAAGGUGGGGACGACGUCAAGUCCUCAUGGCCUUUAUGCCCAGGGCUACACACGUGCUACAAUGGAUCGUACAAAGGGUCGCGAACCCGCGAGGGGGAGCCAAUCCCAAAAACCGGUCCUCAGUUCGGAUUGGAGUCUGCAACUCGACUCCAUGAAGUUGGAAUCGCUAGUAAUCGUGGAUCAGCAUGCCACGGUGAAUACGUUCCCGGGCCUU
rnacentral:rRNA from 1 species